rnacentral:lncRNA from 1 species
UUAGAUAGAAAAAUCCUUUUACUAGGAACUAUUUUGGAAAUUUCCAUCAUCUUUCAAUAUUAUUGAUGCCAAUGGUAUAAGUUGUUUUCCAUGUGGUCCUAGCCACUAAGCUGUCUUAUUUAUGAGUGAUUUUGUCUAGCAAUUGAAAAGGAAAUAGUACGUGGAACUUGGAGGUGGUAUGAUUUUGCCUCUGUAUGGAAUGUGUUUAAUUUUUAUAUUUAUUAGUUGGAUACCACAAUAAUGUUAUGAUAUACUCAGAGUUCACAACAUUGUUCAUCACUUGCUACAUUGGUAAAUGCUUAUUUUUUCCCUAAGAUUAUGUGUUGUUGGUCCUUGAAACAUGUAUGCAAAAUCAAAUGGUUGUUACACCGCCACCUUUUUUUUCUCUUAGUAAGUAGGUUUAUGCCUAACUCAACCUCACAAAACGAUGAUGAUUGCACCUCACUUUGAUUGAUUUGCGAUCUCCAACACAACCCUCAUGUUGAGGAAUGAAUAUCUUGAGCGUGGGAUUAGAUAUUUAUAGGUAGUCUAACAAGAGUCCCACAACAAAUUAAGAUAGUCCCUGAUAGCCCCAAAAAACUUUAUUAGGAUAGGCUUUGAUACCAUAUUAGCAAGUGAGUUUAUACCUAACUCAAUCUCACAAAACUGACUUGUAAGAUAAUGAUUGCAUCCCCAUUUAUAUAUUAUAAUUUGACCUUAUUCCUAGUCAAUGCGAGAUCUCUAACACACUCUAUAUAUUAACCCCUAAAAUGACGUCAAAUUGAUCCACGAAGAAUGAUAGGCUCUGAUACCAUCUUAGCAAGUGAGUUUAUACCUAACUCAAUCUCACAAAACUGACUUGUAAGAUAAUGAUUGCAUCCGAUUUAUAUAUUAUAAUAUGACCUUAUUCCUAGUCAAUGCGAGAUCUCUAACACACUCUCUAUAUAUUAACCCCUAAAAUGAUGUCAAAUUGAUCCACGAAGAAUGAAACUAGUG